AUGGAGCUGGUAGGGGGGUAGGCUGGAGGACCUAGCACUCUGCAUUUCUCUCUGUGCCAGCUGGUUAAGGAAGAGCACAAAGGAGGCCAAAGCUGUAGGCUGGUCCAACCUUGGUCAGAGACCUUUUUGGAUUUAAAGGACUGGAAGAGGGAUAGAGAGGAUUAUAAUAGUGAGACUGACCAAUUACUUAGGCUGGGUCAGGGAUGUAGACUUGGGCAGGCUUGGAAAUUCAGUUUUAUCAAAGAACACGUGCUGGGUUGGGCCAUUAUCAAUCUUCUGGAUGUUGGCUAUUUGCCUUUCAGGCAGUCUCCACUCCAUCUCACCCUGUGCUGCGCUCCCACAGGCUGGCGGUGUGAACCACAUCAACAGAAUCCUUGACCCUCUGGCUUUCGGUUGGCGUUGACCAUUUGAAGGCAUUCGCAGGAGAUCACAUUGUAGCAAAGAAAGGCAGUCAGGGAGGUGCCUCCCCCAGCUUUCUACCUUCCGGGUGGCUGUGGGUCAGCCACAUUGCUCUGUUGAGGGCCCAGCUUGCAUGGGGUGCCCUAGUCCAUACAGCCCCCCUACCUGUGUUCUAGGAACUGCUUCUUCUUGUGCCUUUAGGAGGACAAGAGGAGGCCUAAGAGUUUCCCCCUAUUAUUAAUGCAGAACACUGCCCUAUUCCUGGCAGAUUUUCCACACUUCGUAAAUCGCAGCUUUAUCAAACUCUCCUUAAAACAUCUCAUCUCAUGUGCCGACUCAGAACACUUGUGAUAUUCAAUCAAUCUGACAUUCAAUCAACAUCCAUCAGCUCAUAGUAUGGAAAUUAAGAUGAGAAUAACUGUCCCUAAGGUUUCCUUCCCCUCUGGAUUCAAGGAAUAAUAAAGAAACUUCUUCAGAAUGGAAGCAAGUGACCCCAAGCAGUAAUUAAAAUCCAUUCGAUAAACACAAAGAGCACAAGUAAAGAUAAUUAUGUAAUUUUAAAAGACAACAUAAAUGCCUCUGUGUUCUUUCUUCUCUUACCUGAUUUCACAAGCAAUUGUAUAAACUGCAAUUACAUGCUGUUGUCACCAGUGUGAAAUCUCCCGACUAUCCCCACCUGGUCUAUAUCACUGGACUAGUUGUCUGUGAUAUUUGUGCACCGUCUUGAGGCUUCGCAGACACAGGUAGAGCCCCGAUGCCAUCAUACCGUGUCUUUGUCAGCCCUCCUCCCUGUGUCACAUUUUGGUGCAUCUGGCUGCUUCUCUCUUGCCACCAGCCUAUGAAUUUUAUGAAGUACCUGUCUUUACAUGCUCAGGGGCCAGCCCAAGAGACAGCACACAGCAAGUGCUCAAUAAAUGCUGCACUGAGCCCAGUGGGGCCAGGGCCUCGGCUGUGGCCCUGUCUGGUGCCUUUCUCUUCCCCUACACUCACGUUCUCAGCUUGUGUUGGAACUUCCUUGAGUUAUGGAGAUACUCUUCUAUGUAAGAACAAGGCAGCAAUAUCCAUGGAAUCACAACCCUUCCAGACCCCGUCGUCCACCAUUCCCAACCUUCUGAUGGACACACACAAAGGAAACCCAGCCCACUACAGCUGCCAUGACUGCCACCACCACUACCAGCAGAUGUUUAAUUAGCACUUACCCAUACUAACUCACUCCAUCUUCAUAACCAUCUUCUGAGGCAAGUACGCCAUCCUUACUUUGAAGAUGAGGAAGCUGAGGUCCCAAACUGUGCUCUUAAGCAUCCUCUUAUGCUGCUUUCUGCAAACAAGCACUGCGGCAGAGUACAGAGAACGUGACCUUUGAGGUUGGAAAUUUCCUUGGCUUUGACAUUUAUUAGUUGAGUGAUCUUGAACAGGUUACUUGACUCCUCUGAGCCUCUGCUUUAUUAUCUGUAAAAGAAAUAGAGUUUCUACCUUGUAGUAAUGAAGAAAUAAAAUCAGAAGCUCUCGCAUCUCU